GAAAUGCGAUAAGUAAUGUGAAUUGCAGAAUUCAGUGAAUCAUCGAAUCUUUGAACGCACAUUGCGCCCCCUGGUAUUCCGGGGGGCAUGCCUGUUCGAGCGUCAUUUCACCACUCAAGCCUCGCUUGGUAUUGGGCAACGCGGUCCGCCGCGUGCCUCAAAUCGUCCGGCUGGGUCUUCUGUCCCCUAAGCGUUGUGGAAACUAUUCGCUAAAGGGUGUUCGGGAGGCUACGCCGUAAAACAACCCCAUUUCUAAGGUUGACCUCGGAUCAGGUAGGGAUACCCGCUGAACUUAA
rnacentral:misc_RNA from 1 species